rnacentral:rRNA from 1 species
GCUCAGGACGAACGCUGGCGGCGCGCCUAACACAUGCAAGUCGAACGAGAGAUGAGGAGCUUGCUCUUCAAAUCGAGUGGCGAACGGGUGAGUAACGCGUGAGGAACCUGCCUCAAAGAGGGGGACAACAGUUGGAAACGACUGCUAAUACCGCAUAAGCCCACGGCUCGGCAUCGAGCAGAGGGAAAAGGAGCAAUCCGCUUUGAGAUGGCCUCGCGUCCGAUUAGCUAGUUGGUGAGGUAACGGCCCACCAAGGCGACGAUCGGUAGCCGGACUGAGAGGUUGAACGGCCACAUUGGGACUGAGACACGGCCCAGACUCCUACGGGAGGCAGCAGU